UAGGGAAUCUUCCACAAUGGGCGAAAGCCUGAUGGAGCAACGCCGCGUGUGUGAGGAAGGGUUUCGGCUCGUAAAACACUGUUGUAAGAGAAGAAUGACAUUGAGAGUAACUGUUCAAUGUGUGACGGUAUCUUACCAGAAAGGAACGGCUAAAUACGUGCCAG
rnacentral:rRNA from 1 species